CGCAGCAACGCCGCGUGGAGGAUGAAGGUUUCGGAUCGUAAACUCCUGUUGCUCGGGACGAAAAGCCUCGACCUAACACGUCGAGGUCUGACGGUACCGAGUGAGGAAGCCCCCGGCUAACUCUGUGCCAGCAGCCGCGGUAAUACAGAGGGGGCAAGCGUUGUUCGGAAUUACUGGGCGUAAAGGGCGCGUAGGCGGCCCGCUAAGUCGAACGUGAAAUCCCCGAGCUCAACUCGGGAACUGCGUCCGAUACUGGCGGGCUUGAAUCCGGGAGAGGGAUGCGGAAUUCCAGGUGUAGCGGUGAAAUGCGUAGAUAUCUGGAGGAACACCGGUGGCGAAGGCGGCAUCCUGGACCGGCAUUGACGCUGAGGCGCGAAAGCUAGGGGAGCAAACGGGAUUAGAUACCCCGGUAGUCCUAGCCCUAAACGAUGAAUGCUUGGUGUGGCGGGUAUCGAUCCCUGCCGUGCCGAAGCUAACGCAUUAAGCAUUCCGCCUGGGGAGUACGGUCGCAAGGCUG
rnacentral:rRNA from 1 species